rnacentral:tRNA from 1 species
CGGAGUGUGGGUCAGCGGCUAGACUACCUGCCUUGGAAGCAGGGGAUCGCGGGUUCGAGUCCCGCCACUCCGACCA